UGACCUCGGAUCAGGUAGGACUACCCGCUGAACUUAAGCAUAUCAAUAAGCGGAGGAAAAGAAACCAACAGGGAUUGCCCCAGUAACGGCGAGUGAAGCGGCAACAGCUCAGAUUUGGAAUCUGGCCCCCAGGGCCCGAGUUGUAAUCUGGAGAGGAUGCUUCUGGCGCGGCGCCUUCCGAGUUCCCUGGAACGGGACGCCGGAGAGGGUGAGAGCCCCGUACGGUCGGACGCCCAGCCUGUGUGAAGCUCCUUCGACGAGUCGAGUAGUUUGGGAAUGCUGCUCAAAAUGGGAGGUAAAUUUCUUCUAAAGCUAAAUAUUGGCCAGAGACCGAUAGCGCACAAGUAGAGUGAUCGAAAGAUGAAAAGCACUUUGAAAAGAGGGUCAAACAGUACGUGAAAUUGUUGAAAGGGAAGCGCCCGUGGCCAGACUUGCGCCCGGCGGUACCACCCGGCGCCACAGCGCCGGGGCAUUCCGCCGGGCGCAGGCCAGCAUCGGUUUUCCCAGGGGGACAAAGGUGGCGGGAACGUAGCUCCUCCGGGAGUGUUAUAGCCCGCCGCGCCAUGCCCCUGGGGGGACCGAGGACCGCGCCUUGUGCAAGGAUGCUGGCGUAAUGGCCACCGGCGACCCGUCUUGAAACACGGACC
rnacentral:rRNA from 1 species